rnacentral:rRNA from 1 species
GAUGAACGCUGGCGGCGUGCCUAAUGCAUGCAAGUCGAGCGAACAGACGAGGAGCUUGCUCCUCUGACGUUAGCGGCGGACGGGUGAGUAACACGUGGAUAACCUACCUAUAAGACUGGGAUAACUUCGGGAAGCCGGAGCUAAUACCGGAUAAUAUAUUGAACCGCAUGGUUCAAUAGUGAAAGACGGUUUUGCUGUCACUUAUAGAUGGAUCCGCGCCGCAUUAGCUAGUUGGUAAGGUAACGGCUUACCAAGGCGACGAUGCGUAGCCGACCUGAGAGGGUGAUCGGCCACACUGGAACUGAGACACGGUCCAGACUCCUACGGGAGGCAGCAGUAGGGAAUCUUCCGCAAUGGGCGAAAGCCUGACGGAGCAACGCCGCGUGAGUGAUGAAGGUCUUCGGAUCGUAAAACUCUGUUAUUAGGGAAGAACAAAUGUGUAAGUAACUAUGCACGUCUUGACGGUACCUAAUCAGAAAGCCACGGCUAACUACGUG